rnacentral:lncRNA from 1 species
AUUUAUUGAAAACUUAAGUCAGACUGGCUAAGAGCUUCACUUGCAUUACCUCAGUUAAUCCCCUCAAGAUCCGGAAGUGAGGAGGUAUGGGAAGCUAAGUAGCCCUACUCUAUAGAUAGGCCAACUGAGGCAACUAAGGGUUUCCUUAGGUUAGGGAGGUGGACACUGCAAAGUCUUGACGGGGGCAUUCUGCCUUCUGUGCAGGGAUUUCACUCUGGUAGUUUCUGGAGGAAGACCUGAAUGGAAGAGGGCUCACAUUUUAUGCUGUCCAAGAGGGGAAACCUAAGACCCCCAAAGAAGUCUGAGGCCCCCAAACUCAAUGCCAGUUGAGACAAGAGAAAAUACUUCACGUGUAUGAAAACAUACAUCACACUGUCCUGAGGCCUCAAGGGUUUUGAUUGGCUAAAAAGGAAGACAUUUGAAAAACUAGAGUUGCUACUGAGGAGCCUGUCUUCAGGAACAGUUGCUCAAAGUUUAUAGGAAAUGGAAGACAGCACAGAGAAAUUCAGAAGGUUAAAUAACUCUUAAUUACUAUCCCCCUAGGUGAUCACAAGGCGAAGCACUUAUGGAACCCUUUUCUGUGAUAGAAUACUUAAACAGACUUAGCAGCUCACUCCUACCACUUUCAUGAUGCUCAAGGAUGCUAAACUUUCCAUUAAAAUGUCACAAAACAAGAAAUUCCAUUCCCACCCCACCCCAAUACAUAAAUUGGGGAAUAGAGAAUUCAGGUUCUGAUGACCUCACCACCAGCGGUUGCCUGGGAUGGGGGUGGGGAAUCCAUGGAUAAAACCUCUGAGAGUUUUUUGAACAACGUAUGCCAAGGACAAUCUGGUAGGGUCUGUGGUGAUGAGCAAGGAGAGCCGCUCAAGUGCUGGGAACAGCUCCGGCUGUCUGGUGCCUGUGAAGUUUGAGUCCUGGGAUGAGUAAUGUGACGUGGGCACAAGAUCUCCUUACCCUUUGGAACUUGCAAAUUUCACCAGGAAAGCUCUCUGUAUGGUACAUUGGUUGAAGAAGAUGACUUCCUGGAGAGAGGAACAUGGCUCUUUGGUAAGAUCUCUUCAUGUGGUGGGAAAGCUGCUGUCUCCUGAGAGCUCCAUAUUCAUUCUUACUCUUUAUGAAUCAGAAGGUAGUGAAACUCAGAGAGACUCUGAUCAACACUGCCUGGACCCUGUGGCCUCCUCAGUGGGGAAGGGAGAUGCAGACAAAUAG